UUUUUUUGUGACUGAAAUUUUAUUGAAACUUGAUUUGGUAUCAAAGAUGAAAUACAAAGCCCAAAAGAGGAAAACUUAAACCUGCGGACGACGUAAAUGUUUUCAGAGUCAAAGCCGGCAGAAAUAAAUUUCCCUAGAAAUUACGCCCUAUAAAAGAAAAACGAUAGAAAAAAUACAAACAUAACAUAAGUUUUCAAACCAAAUCAAAAGGGAAACGAAAUCAAGAUUUAAAAUAGAGGCAACCGGCGAUAAAACCUUAAGAGAAAUAAAAGAAACGAGAAAACAAAGCACCUCUUCUUCUAGAACACAAUCGAAUGAGACUUAUCCUGAAUACUCACGGCCAAUUCAAAGAUAACCUCUACCACCUCCUAACACGCUGAGAGCCAAUCUCUCGAAACCAUGAAUCAGGGACUUCAUAACACGGCAAGCAAGACCACUCACAUCCGAAAGCGACGACGACGUUGAUACGCCAAGGUAGUCAACUAGAAGUCUUUAAAACGCGAGGAGCAAAGCCUAACUCCUCAAAACAACAAUCACAUAAACAAAAUCGGUGAAUAGCGAGAAAGCUAACAUCCACAGAGAACAACAAAAAGAAGAGGGAACUCGGCAAACUUCAGAUUCUAUCAUCACAUUCAAACAAAACAAAACCUCUCCUUAGAAGGAAAACGAAUUCAAAAGAAAUCCACAGCUGAGACGAAGAGACAGCUUGAAACUUGGAGGCAUAGACACAACGAUAAGCACAUGAACAACAACAAAAUCAUAACCAACUCAAGCAUAGACAAAGAGAAUAACCAAUGAGCCCAACCCGUCGAUCAAACUGAUCUGGAAUCCUCACAUUCUCUGUAAAUACAAGACCCAACUCAAUUGAGCGCUCCAACAACACCACCAACACAAGCCAUCAACACUUGAAUAAAGACAAAGGACUUCCCAAAUAAAGGCUCGUACAACGAAAGCAAAAAUGGCUGAGAUUAUGGCCAAGAAUUCGUGAAACACCAAACCUCUUAAAAGGAUAGAGCACCCGCCAGAUUUAAAGAUCUCGGACACCAACCAACAACUCUCUUAGGAGAAGCUAACCACCGACGAAACCAAUGAUCCCCGUCGUGAAAAUCUACCAUUUUGCUCGAUUAAGCUUUCUUCCACCAAGCACUAAGAGAUAGAUAGACUGCUGAACCAAAAAACUAGAGCAACUCCUAAAGAGGAAGCCGCGUCAACAAGAAGUGCCGACCACCAAAGUGACUUCCCAGCCACAAAGCUUAAAUGGAGGCUAGGGUUUACUGUUAGGGAGAGGAGAGAGCGACGCUAUGUUUUUUUUUCCACAGUUUACACACGAGAUAUAUCUCCAAUUCUUUGUAAAGGCAUUUUCG
rnacentral:lncRNA from 1 species